GCCAGAAAACCUGUUCCAACGUGGGCUCCUCUCUCCAUGGGUCCACAGGUCCUAUCAGAAGCCUGCUCCAGCGUGGGCUUCCCACGGGGUCACAGCCUCCUUCGGGAACCCACCUGCUCUGGCGUGGGGUCCUCCCUGGGCUGCAGGGGGACAGCCUGCCUCACCAUGGUCUUCACCAUGGGCUGCAGGGGAAUCUCUGCUCUGGCACCUGGAGCACCUCCUCCCCCUCCUUCUUCACUGACUUUGGUGUCUGCAGGGCUGUUUCUCUUACAUGUUCUCACUCCUCUCUUCCAGCUGCCAUUUCUGUGCCCACUGCAACUUUUUUUCCCUUCUUAAAUAUGUUAUCACAGAGGCACUACCACUGUCCCUGAUUGGCUUGGCCUCGGUCAGUGGUGGUUCUGUCUUAGAGCCAGCUGGCAUUGGCUCUAUCGGACAUGGGGGGAAGCUUCCAGCAACUUCUCACAGAAGCCACCCCUGUAGCCCCCCUGCUACCAAAACCUUGCCAUGCAAACCUAAUACACUGAAGCAAUUCAGAUGGAAAUUACAUAACUCCAAGUUUUUUCCAUAAUUCAGAUUCUAAUAAUUUAGGAUGCAUGUUGAGAUCUUUGAAUGAAAGUGCUAAAGAAACUCCAUCUACUUUGAUGCUAGUUAUUUUAAUGUUCUUAUCCAAUUAGGCCUUUGAACCCUCCAUCAGAUUGUUUUGAGUAAGGUUGACCAGGCACUCCAUACAAAAGCAUCUGUUGACCCAGCAGGUGAAUAUGCCAAAUACUGUAUGGAGAGUCUAGGAAUUCCUGUGAUCCCAGGCAUGUCAGUCUGAAACUUUUCUACAGCAUGUCCAAAUGCUUUGAUUAAAUAUGCCUUUCUUUCCCAAUAAUGCUUGACAUAAAAAAAAAAGAAAGAGUUGUUGUUUGUAAAAUAUUCUACUUUAUGAAACUGAAAUAAUUACUUUAAAACUUGGGGUGAUCUUAAUGAUCUCUUCUGAAGGAAGAUUAAGGUGGUUAUGAUGGUCAGUACUAUGGAUACCUGCGUAGUGAAGUAUUUUCCAUGGACAUUUUUUAUAACUGCUUUAAGCAAGAAGUUAUAAUGAAUCCAAAGACUGGGAUGAAAUACAGAAACUUCAUUUUGAAACCUGGAGGAUCUUUGGAUGGGAUGGAUCUGCUUCAGAAUUUCUUGGAGCAUAAACCAAGCCAGAGAACUUUCCUACUGAGUAAGGGAUUAUGUGUUCAGUAAGGUUAUGGUGCCUUUGUAAUGGCAUGUAAGUAUGGAAUGAGCUGGAAAUGUCAGUGUAUUUCACAUCUUAACUAUGUAUAAUUCUAGGGAAAUUGGGUCAAUUUUUGAUGAUUUUUUAAAUUGUAUAAGUAAAAAAUGUGAUUUUUAAAUUGCAUAGGACUACAACAUUGAA